rnacentral:rRNA from 1 species
UACGGAGGGUGCAAGCGUUGUUCGGAAUUAUUGGGCGUAAAGCGCGUGUAGGCGGUUUCCUAAGUCUGAUGUGAAAGCCCGGGGCUUAACUCCGGAACUGCAUUGGAUACUGGGAGACUAGAGGAUGGGAGGGGAUGGUGGAAUUCCUGGUGUAGGGGUGAAAUCCGUAGAGAUCAGGAGGAACAUCAGUGGCGAAGGCGGCCAUCUGGCCCAUAACUGACGCUGAGACGCGAAAGCGUGGGGAGCAAACAGG